ensembl:lncRNA
AAUGGAAAGCAGUUGUUCACUGGUUCUGCUCCCUGCCCUGAAACCCUUUCCUCCUGAACCUGUAGAAUCCCAGCCAUACUCUGUUUCCUCUGCUGGAUGGCUGUCUGCACAUCAGCAAACAUGAUUUCUGGCUCUUUUCUGUGGACCUGAGCCCUUCUGCCUCAGCUCCUGUCUUCCAUCCCAUCCAGGAAAGUGAAUAAAUCCCUAAGCUCCUCCAAUUUCAUACUUGCCAUAGGGUUGCUUGCACUAUGCCAAUUCCUAAUAGCAAAGUACUGGUUUGGGUUGGAAGGGACAUUCAAAGACCAUCUGCCUUCCUGCCAUGAUUAUUACAGCAAGAUGAUCAAACCACGUUCAGUUUGGUAGCUGAUAUAGAGAUUCAUUCAAAGGAAGAGCUGAUCUGUGCAGUUCCCACAUACCAACGCCCUCCUGCUGUUUUCAGUGUCGUGCCGGAUGUCUGAUGUGUUUCCUCAGCAAAGCCACUGGACUCUUUCUUCAAGUUCCUCCCCCAUUCCUCCCUCUGCCAAGGCACUUAGAGGCACUGAGCAAGGACAUGAAUCACACAAACUGAAAACCAGGCUUUUCCUCCAAGAUUACGUGUCUCAUGGACAAUUGUUUUAAUUUUUGUUCUUAAAUUUUACUAUCUCCACUGAAGAAGCCGGUGAAAGAAAAUAAAGUAUGCCAACAGCUUCUUCCUAUAAACCUGCUCUAUGAAAAAAGCAUCUGAUGCAGAUGCCUGGAGUACCUUCUGAUCAAGUUUUCCCGAAAUCAUUUCAGAGAGCUUUGCAGAAAACCAGACAGCAGAAAAGUACUUUGAAGGCUUGUUUCCCUGCUCUUCUGGAAAAAGUUGGUAGUGGAAGAAGCAUAUUUAACCCCAGGUCUUCUGGCUGCUGCUUCUGCACUGGGAAAUACUGGCAUAUCAUCUUAGAUCAACAGUUUCUUAAAGAUUUGGAUUUGGCUUGCUUGAUGCUGGACGAUUAAUGAAGGAAGCCCUAACUGGACAAAUGUUGGUCUCCUGAGACAAUGUGUUGUUGAUAACAGAAAAGGAUUGAAAAUAAGAGGUGGAUUUUCAUCUUCAAUGAACUCUAGUUACCAAAGUGAAAACCAGCUAAUUUUGAUGGUGCAACUGACCACCUUCUCAGCAAUAUCUGAGUAUACACUCCCUGCUGAAAUGACAAAGUAUUGCUGCAUUCAUAGAUAAGAACAAGCUUCUUAACUGAGAAUGUGAAGAGAUGAAGCAAGCAAAACUGAAGAAAACUGAAGAGAAGUAUGAAUUGCUUUGCUGCCAUUAUAGUCUAUGACACUGUAUUGGGUCCCAGCUUAGGAUCAAUGAGUGAAUAGGUGUUCCUUCUAAAGACAUCUAUCUUUUGGCAAGCAGUUAGGGAUAAUGUAUGGAAUGCACCACCACCUGGAACAUCAAAGAAGGAUUACAGAUUGUUCUCACAGGAACUGCUAGGUGGGAAGUGGUGGCGAAUCAGGAAAAUGCCCAGCCACAGCAGAGCACUCAGGAAUGCUUCAGAGGCCAAACAUCACUCUUGUAAACAAUCAUUUCUACACUAACCUAGAUUUUCCAUCUCUAUUUUGAGCAGAUAGAUAGGUUUUAUUCUUACAGUCUAUAAGAUUAGAUCCUAACUCCCCUAGUGUAAGUUUUAGAAGUUGUGAGAGAGAGAUGAAGAGAUGGUAUCCUGAAGUGAUAACACCACUCUUGGAACAGAUAAUCCUACAGAUUCUUUUAUUUCUCUUAAAAUCUUACGUUAUAAAUGCCCACACAAAAAUUCACAUUGAAAUUGGGAGGAACCAGUUCAGAGAAAUGAGUGAUGAGGAUUAGUACACGGCAGUCUACACAUAUGGUCAUAUAACUACUUACCUUUGGGUAGCCAGCUUUCCCAUCAGAGUAGUGGAUUUAUUUUCCAGAUGCCACAGGAUUUCCAUUUCACCAAAAGAGAACGGAGGAAAAGAAAGAUGAAGUGAUUUGCCUGGGAUAAUGGAGGCCUAGAUGGAACCAGAUCUCCUUGGCUCUUGUGUAGAGGCUGCCCUUUUCCUGCCUGUGAUGUGAAAGAAACAUAAACAUUAUCAAGCACCUGCAAAAGACUUUCAGCCUUUUUUGUUCUGAGUGACAGAGCCCAGAGGAUGAUGUGCAAGUUUCCCACUGGUCUGCAGGGAUGUAGCUGAUCCAAUUCCCGGCUCCAGCACACCUGCAAGGUCUCAUUGAUCGUCUGUUCAGGUCUCUGACAACUCAGAAACCUAUUAUCAGUGUGAGCAUGUGCUUAUUGAUCAGAUUACCUGCUCUCACUCCUUGUGUGUACUUAAUUGUACCGAUGCACGCACAUACGCACGCAUAAACAUGCACACACAUAUGCAUAUAUAUUGCCGUGUCGUAUAUAUUAGCAUACAUGCACGCGGGUGGGUGUGCUAAAGGCAUUACAUAUUUUUUCUGCUUUACAAAACCGUACACAAAUAAAAAGAACGGACCUUCUCAGUGAAACGUGAGCACAGAAACACUCGCAAGUGGCCAAGAGCUGCUAAAUAAUUAAUCAAUAGAGCAGUGUGGCAGUUUGAAAUGUAAAUGUGAUGGAUGAAGGUGUGAUGCUUGUCAUCAAGCAGAAAAUGAUGUGACUGGAAUGGAUAACCCGCGGUACCUGCUGACUGGCAAAAGCUUGGACACAAAGAUAAAGUAAAGCCAUCAGAAAGCAGCCCCGGCAACCCCUAAUUCUUGACUUUGACCAACAAUUCACUUUCAUGUCCCUGUCCCAGAAGAGAUGUUUAAAAAAAUGAUGAAGAGAGAUCUUGGGGUGGGAAAGGGGAGAAAAAAAAAACAUCUGAAGAAAUGCUACCUGACAAGGCUGCGGGCUACAUUCUUGAGAACACCUUUCUUUUCUUUAUGUUCUCCUUCUUCUGUUAAAUAAAAAUGCAGCUCCUUUUUUCCCUCUCCUUUCUUCCAAAACUCUCCCGAGCCGUUCCUGCAAGUGGUUCUGUGACUCGGAAGCUGACAACAGCCGCAUGCAAAGGAACAAAGCACGAUAGUGACAAUUCAGAGUGCAAGCAGAAAUGCAAGCCUACAAGUAGGAUUUAAAAGUUUGAUGUCUCUUUCUCCCCGGAACAGAGAAUCCUAUUUCUCAGUAACAGGGAGAAGAAACAUGCUUAAAAUCAAAUGGGAUGCAUUGCUCUGUUGAGGAGCCAUGCUAUCACACACAAGAACUAGCCAACAGAGAGACAAGAACAGGAAAACAGAGGAAAAUGUAUUACCUGGAGGAGAAUUCAUUAUCUGGGAAUCAGACUCACCCCUUUGGGAAAGGAGGUGAGAUAGUGACUGGCUGGUAUGUGAUGGCAUGAGACAGCAGAAAUGGUGGACUGAGAUAAUAACAUAAGAGCGUGCAGCAGACCACGGUCACUGUCUCUCCAGAAGGAAGCAACUGACGGAGAUUUCUCCCACUUGGUAGUAUUCCCCCAGAAAGGAGCUCCCAUUGGCAGAAGUGAGCAGCAUAUUGAGUAUUGUGAAGCAAUAAGUUCCUACAGGCCCUGUGCACCAAAGGCAAAGCUACUUCACUUUUAAUUCACUCUGUCUUUUUUGAAUUCAUUAGAUUUCAAAGGAAGUCAGAGGUAGGAAUUAAACAAAAUAUAGAAAGUGGGACAUUUCUGACUGGCUUGUAUGCUUUCAGUGUCUAAAAAGAAAGGUUUCUUUUAAAGCAAACUGUAGGAGGGCUUGUAAAAAUAGAUAUUUACAUUUACAUACUGGGACAGAUCCUUAGCUGCCAUGAAACAGUAUUGUUCCAUCAUCUUUAACAGAUAAACCUAACCACUAUAGCUGAGAAGCUGGCUCGCAUACAUUACAUGUGUGUUUGAAGCAUGUUUAAGAUUCUGUAUUUUUCUGAAUGCAUGGAGGAUGCUGCUUCUUUCAGGUGCUUUUGCUUUUACACUAAGAUAUGGAAGUUAAAGCUCUGCUGUAUUUGCCUGAGGGUAAUGGGUUCAAGGAGGCAGUGUGAGAAGGAAAGGUGAAGGGCAAGAGGGAGAUGAUAGACACAUGCAACAAGGGACCAGCACAAUCAGGCACUCCUGGAAAAGACAGUUGGGGAGAGAAACAGGAAAUUGAGUGAUGCCCAAUGAAGCCAUGCUGAGGUCUAUGGUCGUCACUUCUCGACAGCAGCUGAGCACCAAGCGAUAUCUACCUUCAAAGCAAAAGGGAGUUAAGCAGAGGCUGAGCAGCAACCACGUCUUUUGGCAAACACCUUGCGUGUUUCCCAUUCGAUAGCAUGAAUUGCAAGAGACCUGCUAUUGAUAGCAAGGUGAAGAAAAGCAGUUCUGCACUCAGCUGUGGUGUCGUCAGAGUCAUGUAACACAGGACACAGAGUACGUGUCACAUCAGAUCAUGCUAAUAGGUGCCAACAGCCACCUUCACUCCCUCCCCCUCAGUCUAUCCCUGUGUGAGAGCCUGGUGAGUGUAUGUGUGGAACAACAGCGCAUUGCUGUGUGCUUCUGCCCACUCAGUAGGACUCUGGUACUGACUCAGAUGGCACUGGACUCUGGACACAUAAUGUACACUGAAUAUCCAUCAUAAAUAAUAAUUACCACAGUAGGGGGCAGCAGCCAGCUGUGGAGGAGAAGUAGGGCCAGCUGCUGGAAGAGAAGUAGGCACUGGCUGAGCAUUCCGGCUGGGCACUGGGGAGGGUGAGCGGGCCGUGGCUGGCAUCCAGUGCCAGCUCACUGCCAAGAGGAGGGAGAUAAAAGCACAAAAGAGGUUCACCAGAGGGAGCUGCUCCUGGCCACCCCUCAGCAAUCAGCAGCGGCCCGGAUCCAGGAGGGAAGGCUGAUGUCAAACAGGGGCAUCGCCAGCCACAGUGUGUACCCACGCUGCUCGUGUACCACCGGAGCUGGUGAGCUGAGCAUCAGAAAGCCCAGCGGGCCUGCUGCAGGGAAGCAGCCCUGCUCAUGCCUCUGGCUUGCAGGAGAGCCCUACCUCCUCCAGAAAUGUGCACAGCCUCAUCCCAUUCACCUCAGCACCUCCCCAGAGGCACCUCCAGCUGAAGCAGGGUCAAUACUCCAGGAACGGAGUGGAGCUGCCCAAGAGACUGAUCAAUGCUUUUCUGAAGAGCCCUGAUACCUGGAUCUCCUUGAUUGCAUUAGGAGGGAUGUGUCUGGGCAGCACUGAAGAUCCCCAGGCAGCAGCACGUUUAGCCAUCUGAAUUCCUCUGAAGAUCUGACACUCAGGUCUUGGGGUCCCCAGGUGAUAUGGUAAAUGAUAAACUGCACACACUUAGUAUUCGUGUGCUGCAGCUAUAAUUCAUCAUAGUUUUUAAAUAUUAUUCUACCCACUCUAAAGUCAUUUCCGAGACCAAGCUGGUUCACCAGCCUCAUUUUCACAAGGUUGUUGAUGGCAUGCUCCCCACACACUGGCUGCUCAGCAAAGUCAACAGCAUCCCUGUGUAAGCUCCCCUACCUGCCCCACAUGUAACGCAUACCUAUUUCACCAGCACAAUGGAACAAUGAAUUAGCUCGUGUUUUGCGUAGCAAUUAUAACAGCAUAGCAGAAUUUAGCUUGCUAAAAUUUAGCUUUAUGUAUACUGGUGUCUUAUCUUCAAGCUUGCUUUUUGUGCCUGGUUAUUUUUCACUGAGUUCAAAUGCAAAUAGAUAAACCCUGUUUGCGUUUCCUUCCAAAGGAGGAGUGUGUUUAUUUCCAGAUUCUAUAUGUAUCUACUGGGAAAAGUCACACAGGAUAAACUAAGUAUUUUUUAUGCUCUGUCCCUAAUUGGCUGAGCAGUGCGUGUGAUGUGGGUGAUGUUAAAGAGAAACCGUUUUGCUUCUAUUUCUCAACAGAGGGGCUGUGCUUUUUUAUUUUUUUCAGUGAAAACAAGAAGCCUGUGUAUGGCUCUCAUUUUAUGUAACCCACAAAAGAAAGGAGAAUUUGAUAGAGGACAAUCUCAGGCAAAUAGAGCAUGGUGUCGGGGAAAAACAUCCAUCAUUUUUUCAGGUAAUAGGCAAGCACUACUCACGUGUGAACUCAAACACAAAUUCAUGAAGAGCCUAGAUGCUAUGCUGAACAUAUACACGGUCCAAAAACAAAGAAGCAGAUUCAUUUCAGACAACUUAUAUCUGAACAUCUGACCUUAAGAGCCAGCCUCAGCUAAGUGCUGCUGGCAAACACCAGGAUUUGGAAGGAAGUGAGGGGUGUUGCACUAUUUUGAAAGCUCUGUUUUGAACCAGCUGUCAUGGCGAAUGUCUGCUGGUACCCCGUCUUAGCAUACAGCCUGUCACUGUUGAGCAUAAUGGUAACGAGCCAAUGGAGUAUAUAGAGCUUUACUUUCAUGUGUGUCUUUGUGGUUUGGAUUUUCCCCUUUACAAAGCCGUAACAGGUAAGCUUUGAAUCUGCUUAUGCCACAUCCUAAUUGACUGUAUUUAAUUUGUGUGUGUACCUAUCUUUGAGUGCUUGAAUAUACAUAUAUGCUUAUUUAUAUGCACAUAUGUACAUUUGGACAUCGGCAUUAAAUGUAACUAUGCAUAUUGUCACAGCUUAUUGCUAUGUUCAUCACAGAUUCUUAGAGUAGUUGGCUUUAUUAUCAUACAAUAAAAAAACCAUAGAAAGUUAAUGCCUUCUUUAGAAUAAAUAAGGAACACAGGACUCAUUAUACCAUAUACAUUUAAUGGUUUGAACAUCUCAGUGCCCACAUGAAAACAAGAAAACAUAUAUUGCAAUAGGCAGCAUAAUAAUUCCAGAAAGGAACAUCCAUCCUUUAUGCCUAGAAAUAUGAGAUUCAGCAUCAUGAGAUCCCAGCGUUAUGUCAUCAGCUGCAUGAGUUUCACAGCUUAUCUGCUUGAUUUUAGGUUACAGAAGUAAACUCCAACAAAAAUGUAUAACACUGCCAACUUAACAGCACAUUUAUGCUAAUACUAGCUGAAAUGUUUUCAAGAAGGUGAAUAGGAUCAGUGUUUCUCUAUGUAUGUGUGCACUUACGCGUAUAUAUGCAUACAUACACAUGCACAUAUGUGUGUGUGCUACGUAUAUAAACUGUCUGUAGAGACAUCAUUAUUUUAAAAGGUUGAUUCCAAGUACAUUAAACACGAAAACAAUGUUCUGUACGGUUGACCAAUUUAAAGAAGCCCCUGCCGGUGCACGGAAGAACGUGCUAGCUUAUAUCAUUAAACAUCAUCAGACGAGGCUGCAGGUAGCUGAAACGUUCCUUAAUGAAAAUUUAAAGAGAGCAGAUUAAAAUGAUAUUCCUCCAAUCCAACAGAACACAAAGGUAAAGACAGUCAAUUACAGCCAAGAUUUCAUUUAGCACUAAAGGAGUGUUGUUUGUUGAUCAGAAUUUAUUGCCUGACGUGAACAGCUACGCUUGUGACUACAUAUAUAAUUACUUUCUACAGUGUACUCCAGUGGCACCCAAAUAUAGUUACUAGACAAGACAACAUCUUCCAUAAUUUUAGAUUGUGAUAUCCACGACCAAGAGUUUGAAAAUAUCAACAACAAAUGUAUUUUCCUCUCUGCCAUUAUAUUUCCUAGCAUUAUGAAAAAAUAUAAUUAAUCUAUAGUGACCCAUGUUUGGUUUUUGAAUCACUAGGCUAAAUGUUUAAAUGUUUUUUGUUGAUGAUCAGUAAAACAGGUGAUACCAAGGAAAUGGUUUGAACAGAAUGCUCUGCCUGCUUGUUUGCACAGAGUGCCAGUGGCCUUCCCUUGAGUGGUUUUCAGUGAGAAGGUAUUGAGGGUGCUCAAGUCUGUGCCCAACCUGCCGUUAGUUCAGAUAAAUGCACCACAUCUUUAAAAUAUCAUAGCUAAAAAAGCUACUGACAGACAGGAGUGGGACAAGAGGAGAUGAGAAAAUAACCAGGAGACUGAAAGGACUGAUUUAUCAGAAAAGAUUAAAUGAUCUAAAUAGGUAUGAACUGACUUAAUGUUAACUAAAUGGAACAUCACAUUAGUCUAAAGACACUGGAGAAAAAAUAGCAUCGCAGAAGGGAAAUAAGGAGGUUUGCAAAGGAACAAAACUGGGAGAAAUAUGAUGAUGUUAAGAAAGGAAAAAAAGACUUCUAACAGGAUAUACUGGGCAGCACAAUCUCUCCUUAAGUAAAUGGCAUUACUUAGGACAUUUAAUCCAGUCAUCCAAAGCAACCAAAAAUAUGCCAUAGGAGACAAUCUCAAUGUGUCAGCAAGCUGUACUGGAUGACCUAAAAGGUACAUUACUAAUUUGUGUGCAUCCGUUAUCUGUGAUUUUCCUUGCUUGUGUGGCCAACUCAUUGCAACUUGUAUGUAUCUGGUUUCUCUGGGCCCAGUCCAACUCUUGCUGUAGUCGGCAGAAGUUUCCAACAGGAGCAAUAAGACCUCAAUUGUCUUUUCCAUAUCUUUGCUGUUAAAAAAAAAAAAAAAAAAACCUGCAAGAACCAUGAAUUUAUAUCAUGUAUGAAUGCACAAACAACUCAACUAGAUCGGUCCCUUAGUGUUUCAUGAGUAUUUAAAGCUGUGUUUAUCCAUUUAACCUUAGAAAUAUUCAGAAAAAUAUGAGCUUCUUUUACUGCUAGGGAAGAAACUUACAGUUAAUCUAAAAACAACUUCUGAUGAAAAACUGCUUUGGUCAUAGAAGAAUUAGGAUGAUUUUCUAUACUAAACCAAAAAAGAUAUUACACAAAAAGGGCGGAACUCUUUCUACUGUUAAAGCAGUAAUGCAGCUAAUGAAAGAAGUUGUCAAUGAAUUCUGAAAUCAAGGCUGUAGUUUUCAAAUAUUUUUACCCAGUAUCUGAAUGCAUACAACCCUAUGAUGCUUUAAUUCCAGCUCACUUGCAGGUAGGGAAUAACUGUUUUGCAGCAACUCAGUGCUGGCCCCUCGAGAGGCACAAAUUUCUGUGUAAGUAGGGCUGAAUGUUCAGGGGUCAGGGUUGUGUUUCAGUGUUGUCCAUACAUCCAGCAGCUUGUAUUGUAAAUCUUAAGAGCAGCGUUUUUGAAAAUACUAAACAGACAUUUUGGUAGCCAGUAUUGAGCCUGUGGCUAUACUGCUUCAGGCUGUGAUCUUGUCAGCUUUUAAAAGAUAAGUAGGGUCAGGCAGGGUCAGCAUUUGGAUUGGUAACUCUAAGACGAGUCAGUAGCUGCAGGAAGUGUCUUAAGCAAUAGAAUGGAUGUAACUGUUUUCCUCGAGCCUUUUCUAAUACCCUGAUGAAGGCAUCACGCCCAGCUGUGACAUGAGAGCAAGAUUCUCACCCUCUGCAGUCAUCAAGCACCUCAUUUUCAGAGGGGUCUUUUCCUGACCUACUGUGGAAGUACGUGGUAAGGUAAAGAGAAGAUCACGGCAUUUGGGUACCGCUUGCACACACGCACAACUCUGGCUGGAUGACAUGUCAAUGCAUGGCCCCAGCACACUGCAUCAGGAAGGGGGUACAGAACAAUGAUAUCUCUGACAUCUUUGGGGAUGCUAGCAGCUCCAAACUAAGUCUUUGGCUAUGUUUAUAGUACGAAAGUAAAGUCUUUUUAGCCAAGACUCUGUCCACCAACUUUAAGCAUUUCUACAGAAAGUACAGAAGGGCUGAUAAUGAAAUCCUUGUCCAAUGGUCUACAUUGCCAAGAAUUUUAAAUUGUAAGUUAACCAAUUUCUCCUCUAAAGUUCAAACAAUAAAUAAAAUUCUAUGUGAAAAAUGGAGCCUUUUAUUCCUUUGUCAAAAUCUGAUCAGAGUAAACUACAGAUGUUAAAAGGCACUAUAGUUCAAAGAAUUAAAAAGAAUCUUAAGGGGUUUGUAUGAAGAAAAGAGUUUUAGAGAAUAAUAUGGAAAAUAUUAUAAUGCCAUUAUAUAAAUCAGUGGCACAUCCUCACUUUGAAUACUGUCUUCAAAUUUGGUCACCUCAUCCCUGUAAAAAAGAAAGUAGAAAUAGAAGAAGUCCAGAGAAUGGCAAUAAAAAAAGAUAGAAGUCAAAAGGAUGGGGAAUUUCCUUGAGAAGAGAGAGAGAACACAAACCCCAGCCUAUCUCUCAAGGCAGACUGACCCUCAUGGGACUGCAAAUCUUACGUGAACCCUUUCCAUAAACUUGGAUAACCGCUGUUGCCUGAGAUAAUGUAGCUGUCCUUGGCCCCAGGGCAAAAGAACUGGGGACUGUGCAUGCAGCAGACAUUGUACUUUGCCCAGUGCACCCUGCUCUCUUAAAGGGAGGACUUUAAGACCAUGAGCCUCUGGAAGCCAAAGUGACCUAUGGACAGUGGACACAGAGCUGCAUAUUAGCAACACGUUUUUCUUUUCACUGACUACAUACCAAACUUAUUUCUUGAUCUUGGCUUCAGGGACUUUGUUUUUCCAUGCCUUUCUUUCCUUCAAACUUUGGAUUGAUUUUUUAGAAAUGUAUAGGUGAUUGAGAAGUAUGAAUCCAUUGACUUGUCUGACAUUCGUUUUGGUGAAAUCGUUCAGCUCCUUUGAAAAUAUGCCAUUCGUCCAUUCAAAUAGUCUCAGUCCUGAAGGAAUUGCACGGUCUCCCUCACUUUGUGCAGUGGGAUCCCCAGGCUUCAUCAGAGCUCUCCUUAAGCACGACUAUAAUAUAAAUAACAUUUUGUCCUCAUGAUCCUCCAACCUAAUUAGCAGCAAAGGAAUAAAAACCCUUUCCUAUCCUGCAAGGUGAAACGAAGAGGUAUCGAAUUUCAAACGGAUAAGAGGUAUUGCUUUUCCAAACAAUGUACAGUUAAUUAAUGGAACUUGCUGCUGCACAGAUAGUACUCGGUGAAACAGUAUCAUAUUUGUAAAUGAGGAGGCAUUUUGAGACAUAAAAGCAAAUCUACACACCAAGUUCAGAUUGGGUUAAAUUCAGUAGCAUAUAUUAUGCAGAAGAUCAGACUGGAUGAUAAUAAUGGUUGUUCCUGGCCUUGAAAAAAUCUGUGAGAGUUUUACUAACAAGUAUUAUGUAAUAGUGUCAGUAGUUCUUGGUAAAAGCUAGUCAGUAGAUGGAGUCAGAAAGGCAUCAUCUUCCGUGGUAAACUGUUAUACAUUUACAUACACAGGAAGGAGGGGGCAGUUCCCUUUCAUAUUGUCUGAUACUGGCUUCUGGCAAAGACAAGGUGUGCUAUGGUUGACCAAUGCCAGUGACUGCUCAGUAGGAGCCAGGAGGAAUUUUCUUUACUCUUGAAGCAACUGCAGAACACCGCUGAAUGUUUGUGUCUAGGAAAUGAGAUGCUGUCUGAUCUACUUAUGGAUAAUCAGGAUGGGUGAGGAAUCCUACACUGGGCCUUUUGAGGUUCAGGGAAGGCUAGGAGGCUUUUCAAACCUGUAGCUGUUCACCUGUUUUACUAGAGCUGUGCAAAACUUUCUCCCACAGCCCAGCAUGGAGUGAGUACCCAUAUUCAUUGUAGUAUGGUAUGCCUCAUAGCCCUGUCUGCAGAUAAGGAAAACGCAGACUGAGACAAAUAAGUUCUUGGGAAAAUAGUUUAGGAGGAAGGCGAGAAAAUCAAAGGCUGAAUGGCUGUAACUAGACUUAUCUUUUGAUUUGUGACAGUAUGCCAUGGAGUCCCAGUCCCCCACCACCCAGAUCAGCAUCCCUUCAGACUCAUCCCAGCCUCUGUCUAAACCCUCACCCACUUCACCCACUCACAGGAACCUAUGGGUAUAUACGGUCCAUGGCCAUAUUGUAGAGCUGAACCUUGAGGCAGAACAACAUUCCCCAUGGGUAUCUGUAGUCUGUGGUGCCUCUGCUUCUCUGCUCUACUCCAGAUAUAUCCUCAGAUGGAGACAGAGGUCAGGAGAUGUCUCACUGGUCCUUCUGAGAAACGUUCCUCUAUUCUGGUAUCUGGUUUAUCUCUGCACUGUCAAAAAGGUGAUAGAGACUUCAUUCUAACAGAGUACCAUAAGAAUAGAGGCCCUCUUCUCCAUGUUUACACUCACCUGCAACUUCAGCAAUCUAACAGGCACCACAAGAAAUCAGGGAGGAUGUCUUCUAGGAAAUAGCUGUGCUGGAGCCAUUUGAGUCACAGGAAGUGUUUCAGCUUUGUGGUCCGAAAAGUUAUCUGUCAGGGGAAAAAAAAAAGAGGAAUUACAUCAAAAGGGAGCAAAACAGAUCCUUCAACUAGGAGAUUUACACUGUACAUUCAUAUAAAGACACAGAAAGUAAGCACAAAAUCCCAGUGCCAUUGUGAUUCCAGUAUGUUUGCAAUGAUAAGUUAGAUCUUAAAUUUCUUCUUUUGGGGGCAGAAAGUGCCAUGAAAAAAAAAGUAUAUUAUUCACAAAAAGGAUUGUCCUGUAUACUCGUAAACCUCUGCAAUUUAUUCCGUAACAGCUUUUUACUUCAAAGAAAUCACUAGCUAAUGACAUCUGAAACUUAAAAAAACCCACUUAUUCACAACCCUGUCCCUGAGGGAAUUCCCGUGUGUUAUCAGAAAUUUUUCCAAAGAUCAUUAACAGAUAUUACAAACCAAUUGAAACUGAGUAUUUUCUUUGCAAAUUACUUUUAACUUCAGAGCUAUUGAAAAAAGACGUUGAGUGAUUUAAUUUACUUAAUCUGUCUACAGAUUGCAGCUAUGUGCAUAUUGUGUGAUUGCAUUUCCAACAAAAAGCAUAUAUAACUAUCCCUAAUAGAGAUAUUUUUCUAAAUUAUCGUACAAGAUCAGUAAGAUCGCUGAAGAUAUUAAUGUUUACUUUUUCAUUUAGAAAAUUGCACUCAAGAAAGAAAUGGGCACCUUUAUUCUGUUGUUAUCUCUGAAAUAAUAACACACCAUUAUACUUAUUUUACCUGCUAUUUUAAUUAAAACUCCAAUAAUCGCUACAUCUGCGUAUCCGUAGAGGAUAGGUUCUACUGAUUUUUCUGAAAAAUCCCUGUAUUUUCAUUAGGCUGCAAAGCCAAUAUUUUUGAAACACCUUACACAGCAGUGAGCAUACCGAACAAAAUCCUCUAUCUUGUGCCAAUCCAAAACAGCUAAGUGUAGAACAAGCUAAGUCAGCACAGGGAGGGAUGGAAAACGUAUCCUAUCCUCCACCUUAUUGCUUUAAACUCCUCCCAGAGAACCACAUGCAUGUGAGUACCACUACAUGGUAUGCAGGAAGUAUAGAAAAUAUCUUCCCCCUUGAAUACUCGUAGCUUCCUGGCCAGAGUCCCUGCUCUCUUUGCAGAUAAGAGAUAAGGGCUUGAAAUCCCCAAAGCUCAGGUGGGCAUUGAAGAUAUUUACUUUGAAGCAAAGUGAAGACAGCUGCUGUAUGUUAUGUGCUGCCCAAUCCUCGCUGUGUGUUACACAUGCUUUGCCAGGAUGCUUUUUGAAGAGGUUUUGCUACAGUUCAGCCCAGUUAAGCUGGUGACUGCCUGGCCAACAAGCACAAGCGUGAGAAAGAUGUUAGAUGUCUUGGGAUCUUUAUUAGCAAAAUACAGGUGAUGAACUCUGCAGAUGUGUGGACUGGAAUUCCUAGCCUUGAUAUCUAUAUCCCACCCGAGCCUCAGUCAUCUCAUUCUGUGGCUUUGAACCCAGAGGUGUCUAUUCAGAGAAGGACCCAGAUGUGUCUUGGCAAAAGAGGUUAAGAGGAAGGUGAGAAAAACCAAAGUCUCAAUGUCUGCAACUAGGCUUACCUUUUGUUAUCUUGUUGAGAAUGGUGGAAAGAAUUUGCAGAAGUGCUGAUGGACAUUUUGCAGGUGACAGUUACUACAGCACGUUACUAAAAUAUUCUGCAUCUUCCCAUUGUCUAGGUCAGCCUUAUGACUUCUGUGUUCCUGCUACUACUGAACUUCCACUCUCCUGUUCUUUCCAUUUCCUGGGUUACAGUAAAAAAGUCUUAGAGCGAGAAGAAGAUGUUUUCAAGUGCAUUAAAAAGCAUGAGGUCUGUGAACUUGAGCCACUUUGUAAAGAGUAUCAGUAGCUGGUGAAGGCUGAGGAUAUUACUCCCUGAGCAAUGUGAGGACCAGGUUUGUUCUGUGGCCUUUGGGUACCUGUAUUUUCAGCAGCAUCUCCUUCACCCUUCUGUCACGCAUGUGCAGCCAGCACUAGUAUUAGCUCAGAUGGUGCAUGCGUACCCCCAGAAUAUCAGUCAGUGGUUUCAUUUAGAACUAGCAGAGCAGUCUCAUGCACACCGAGCUCCAGGGUGACUCAUUCCAGCACUACACCUCUUUCCUUUUCCCCCCUCCCUGAUUUUUAGUAGCUGCCUUGCAUUGCUUGGGCUCUAAUAUGACUGGCUGCACCCUGCUGUGGAGGUCCUUCUCACGAAGGCUGGUGGCAUGGCCAUGCCAUGCAGCAGUAGAAGCCACCAAUGUGCCUGUAGGGAGGACCUGGAGCUCCCACCUGCCUGCACCGUGCAUGGUGUUGGCCUGCCGUCACUCAACCCGGGGCAUCUCCGCGGAGUCUGAUAACACAUCUGCUAAUUAAUGCCAGUUGUGAUCCUUGGUCAGAUCCUCAACUGGGAUAAAUUGACACGGCUCCAUUUAAGCCUGAGACAAUUAGCAGCAGCUUAGAGCUGACCCGGUGGUUUUCUUUAUAAUGUGCAUAUACAUCUUGUUGGAAGUGAAUAAAACCCAACAACUAAUUGCACAUAAACCACCAAACAAACAGAAAAUGAAAUGACUGUCAGUAACUCCCAGCUCGAGCCAAAUUACAGUGGUGACAAAGAAGUGAUAGCCUCAGAUCUGUUAACAACCCUCUGAGCUAUCCAAUCCCCUUAAAAUAAUAACAAUUAAUAAUAAUAGAUGUGCUGUUGGAUACGUUCACCUUUCUGUAAGGAAAUCCUAAUGAGUAUCUCUUAAAAAAAAUAAAAGGGACUUGGGAAAUUCAAAAGUAAUUCUAUUAACUUGUAAGCAUAGCAUUUUACCUUUGAACAAUUGAACUGAUCAAAUUUACUCUGAAAUUCUCUUUUUGAAUGGAAAGGAACAGUCAAGGAACUUUCUCAAGAUUCUGUUCCAGCCAUUUGUCAAAGUUUCAUUUCGAUCAAUACUUCCACCCUGUUAGGCCAUAUCACCCAUCCUCUCAACCGUAGUAAGCAGAGCGGCAGUCGGUAUAAAUCUUAACUAGAGGCAAGGAAGGCACUCCCUGAAAUAAAGCAAAAGUUUGAUAGGUUGUGUCAAAAGGAACUGCUGUUAUUAUUAUAAUUUAUUAUUUGUUAAGCACUGACAAUGUGCUCAGUUCUGCUGAUUAAGUUCUUCUGAGCAAGUUCUACUGAUUAGCUUCUGAGGACAACACACUAUACUACAAAGAAGAUAUUUGACAGCUAUCAAGACUUUUGCUUUCAAGGCUCACUUAGCAAAACAAUUACACGCCAGUUAUGCAAGUUUCAUGGAAAAAAAAAAAGAGAAAAUGCAUAAACUGAGUAAAUAUCAUGACUUUUGUGUUCACUAAUAUUCCUACUCUAGAUCUCUCACUUCAGUAUCAUCUGACAACCUCAAAGUUACACUGAGAUUUGAGUAAGAUCUAAAGCAUCAUCCCUGCUUAUAUUCAGUUUUAAGCAUCAUGAUACAUUAAAGGCAAGCACACAGGUUGUAUUGUUAGGCUUUGUCUUUGCAUCUGGCACUUGCUCCCCUUAGAGAGGCAGAGAUGGGCUGAAUGGGGCCAGUCCAAGACAGACAAAAGUUGAGCAGAUUCAAACUGUUGCACACAUUUCCUUCUCACCACAGCGCAGAUCAAGGUCAGAUGGUGCUAUACUCAUAGGUGAUGAUCUGACCUGAGAAAUACUUCUGGGGGUGCGGGCUCUAAAAGGGAACAUCUUUCCCAUCCCACUUAGUCGUUGUUCCAGCAGACCCAUCUUUAAGUCUCUCCACUCUGAGAUGUAAGGCAUAUUUUUUUCAGGGUACCUAGGAGUUGGGACGAUUGCUUUGGGCUGGUCUAGAGCCACUGCAGCACUGUUAUUCAUGAGAGCCCAGGUGAGCUUGGUCUCUCUUUAGCAGGUAAAGGAGUCACAAAGAGUUUCUUCCUCCACCCUUACUCUCCUCAUUGGCAUACAGCAUACUGGCAGGGUAUAAGAUUCCCAAAAAGUAGGCACUGAAUGGAAAAGAUUUGUGCACGUGGGUGCAGGUAGGGAACAGUGCUCUGACAAGUGCUGGCCAAAUUUGUGUGUCAGGAGGGUGCCAAGCAGACACUGUGCCUUGCCCCGGCCAGAUAACACCUCAGCAUUCUGACAGCAGCGCUGCCAGGGCUCCAGCUGUGAGGAUGUUCUUAGAAGAAAAACUCUCUUUUGUCUGCAGCUAUCCUCUAGCUUGCACACUUCCCUAAAUCCUGCCAGCAUGCUUUUUUUUCAUAACCGACAGAGGGAAGUGAGUUCUUAUAUAAAUCCUUUGUGUGAAGAUCAAACUGCGUGCAUGUAGAACUAUGGGUUUUUUUAGGGGAAAAUCUGCCCUAAAAUAAUCAUUCCAUGUUAUCCCCGUGGAGUGCCUGCGCUGCCUGUUAAAAUGCAUCCGAGGCCACCCUCAAGACCUGAAUCAACACUCCCAGGCAGCAGCCGGCUCAGCUGAAGUCUCCGUGCUUACGGGGAGGGCAGAGUGUGGGCAGCCUGGGGCAGGAGCAGGGUCAGGGGCAGCGCAUCUGGAGGGGGCCGUAAUCUGAGUUGCUCCUUGCAGACAAUGUCAGCCAUUGUAUGGAGCAAGAGAAACUCGGGGAGCAAUGCAGGAGCCCGGCUGGGGCACGUGGAAAAGGUGCCUUUGCCAGGCUGGCUGAAACUCCUCCUGCAUCCAGUGGACUACACAGGUAUGGAAAGAGCCUGUAUUUUCAGUCAAAUCUGUAAGUUAAUUUUUGUUUAUUAAUAAACCAAGGAGUGGGAGAUUUGGUUGAGAAAACACAGCCUCUCCCUCACAAACUCAGACACAUUUGUAAUGGAGAGGAGAAUCGGCAAAAAAUGAGUGACUGAUUGCAGUACUAUUGAGAAAUUCUUUAGAAAAUGAUGAGUAAAGAAGAAAGCCCCUUAAUGGCAAUAGCGCUGCAGUUUUAGGACUGAGUUCAGUGCAGCCUGGUGUUUGGCUAUUAAGCAAUUCAAUUACCACCCAGAAAAUGCCCAAGCAUUAGGCAUAGCAAAGCCUGUGAUACCAAAGCAUAACACAUCUCAUACACUUGGAAAAUCUCUCCUUCCUUCUAUCGCUGUCUCUGUUCCUCCCCUCCUGCGCUCCCGGUUUGCUUGAAUACAAUACAAUCAGGGCUUUUAUAGCCAGCCCUACCUUUCCCAGAAGGUGCAUCUCUUAAAAAGAAGCACAGAUUCUCUCUGAGGACCAUAAAAAUGGGCUCACACUUCAGUGCCAUCAUCUAAAAGAUGGAUGAACCAAUUCCGUUCAAAUAAAAACAUUCUACCUGUGCCCAUCCUCCAGCAAAAUUUCAGCCAAAGGUGGAGCUAAACCCAAAUCUAGCCAUUAUUAAAGUGGAGAAAAAUCAGAUUCCUUUUAUUCCCCUAUUCAUUUUCUGCCAUAGUGAUUUUCUGAAUUUCUGACAAGACCAUGACUGAGAGAUGAAGGGCCGAAAGGGGCUGGAUGUGCCGUAUCACUGGCCCAAGUGGAAGCAGGAAAUACUAAACAUCUUGCAUGGAAGCCUGUUCUCAUCAGGUUUAUAGCCCAGCUUUUUCCAUCAAAAGCAGUGAGGAUGGUACAGACAGGGUGCAGAAAUGCAUCCAAGCAUAUGGGAAUAGAUUUACACUAAUCCUCCUUUUGAGCUUCAUCCAGCACUAAAUCAGAGCCACACCAUAAAGAGGAACAAUACAAUAACUUGUGGGGGGAAAAAAAGAAACAUGUCUCCUCUCUAUGAGGAUGGGGAAAACUAAGCAACGUGACUCACUUUUCUCCUUAGAAACUGUUGGAGGAAUGUAAAAAUGUAUAGCACUGCAGAGACUGGAAAAGAACAAAAGUCAGGUAUCACUUUAGCUCGGCUGCCCGGUGGCUGCAUGCCCAGUGCAGGGCAGCAGCACGGAGAGCCCAGCCUUGAAAGAAAGCAGGAGAACAGCCAGCUGUGUGCCACGGUCGUGUGGACAACAAAACUCACCUGGGAGGCUGUGAAAAUGCCUUUUCGCAGGGCUAGGCUCUGCUGUGGCUUUCCAGCUACUCAUGCCAUCCUGCCCCAAGGCACCCCCUGGAAAGCACUGCUGUUGAACUCAGGGUGAAGGGUGUUGUGGCCUUGUUCCCCCAGCAAGAACACAGGGCAGCCUGCGUGGAGCAGGAAAAUGGCUCCCCUUAGCUCAUGGCAGUACAAGAGGGCCUUAUGCAGUGAGUUCCCAAAGGUGUGCUGUGUAUGAGCAAGCAGAGCAGGCUCACACAAGGAGGACCAAAGGCUUCGCAGGCUCAUCCUCAUCACAUUAAUCUCCCAGGCAUGAUCCCUGGCUUCGCCUACUGAAAGCAAAAGGGAAAGAGCUGUUGCUGUAAGAUAUGCACUGAGUGUCUAACAGCAGUAGCACAUACUGGCUGGGACCCUAGCCCUUGAUCACUUCUUCCCUGUGUCUGAAGCAAAAAAACCAGUUUUCUAACACUUGGAGUCAUGCUCCACAGCAUCAAAACAGUGCUGUCUGGAUCUUGAACCAGGGGCAUAAAGAAGUAAUUUCAACAAGAGCUAAUGGGUUCCGGAGAUUAAAAAGAGAUGUCAAAAUGAGGUGGGUUGUUAAAGGUAAAAGUUGGGAGAGGGUUUGGCUAACUAAACGGGGAUGGGAAAUAAUACAUGCAGCUCCACACAUAUACACACUCACACAAGCAGCACAGGCCUACAACUCAGGCAAAGCAGCCUAUUGUUUCCACACGUAAAAAUCUUCAAGUUGGAAUUUUGUUAAUCGUGUAUACUGCCUUUUCCUGAUUAAAACUGGAAGAAACUGUACUUAUCUCUUUACUUACAGAAGGAAAUCAAUACAUGGAUCCACAGAAAACUCCCUAAAAACUCCAGGUCUUAAAACUGCUGACUGGUUUUGGCUGGUGUCAAUCAUCAGAGCUAAGUUGACUUCCAGAGGGCAGCCCAUCUUUACCCCAGCUUAAGAUCUGCCCCCAUACGUUGUUUCCUUAGAACAACUCGUCUUCUCUUUUUCUCAAAAUAUGCAUCUGGUUUAAGGUGACUUUUCCUCUCCCAGCAUAUGGAGCUGAAUGAUUAUGACGAUUUACAUUUAUUUUAAAUCACAGCCGAUUAAAAGGAAAAAUAAAUGCUAAUAUGUUGAUAUGGUUUACUUCUGAAUGAAUUAUUGAUAUGAAUGAGUAGUUGCAGCUAUCAUAAUUACUGUUUAUUAAAUAAAUAUAUUUUGAAUUAGAGACCCUUGAUUAAGAAGUCACAUUUUUGUCUGAAAAUUAUUUCCCUGCUGUUAUUAUAAGCAAUACCUCACAUCGCUCUAAAUAAAGAAAAAAAAAUAGUGAAAUGAUUAUAUUUUUUGUCUUAUCCUUUGCUCUGUGAACUUGGCAGCGCUUUGUGCAUAUUCCCUUUCACUGCUUCUCUCCUCUAAUCAGUUAAGCGAGGCUCUUUCCCCUCUGUUGUUUGUUUGGAUCUGUCACAUAGCACCUAGAGACACAAAAAACAUUUUAAACAGGAAAAUGUGAAACAGAAAAACUAAAGGAUUGAGGAUCAGAUACCUGAGACUCCUCUCAACAUUCUCUUUUAAGCUGAGCACGUUUCAUAUUAAUGGUGUCUCUUUAACAUAAAUAAUGAUCUAAUGAAAUAAAUAUGAAAUUGAAAGAAUCAUAAAAAGAAUUUUACAUUUAAGAAUGCCAUCUGUGUAACACUUAGCCUAACAAUGAAAUCGUUUCAGCGCCAGAACAGCUCACUCUGCUUCCAGCACAAGUUAUAGAGCGGUGCGACGGUUCUGAUGAACGGCACAAAAGCAAAGUACACCUGAAGAACGGCACCUGGGUUCAAAUCCACGUUAGUCCAUGGAUAUCACACGGGACUUUUGAAGUAGGCCCUGCUAAUGUUCCCACCUCAAGUCAUCAGUAAUUUUUCAUAUAGUUGCCGAUGUACAUCAAAAGAAGAUUUAGAUAUCUAUAGGAUAGAUUUUGCAGGUCAGUAUAUUGCUACAACUACUGCACUAAUUCUCUGCUCUUUCACAGAGUCAAACCAUUCUGGAACUCAGGGCCAGUUGGGUUUGGCUGACGAGCCCAGGCCUCAGAGGUGAGACCACGUGUAAACACACUGGUAGCAUGGAAAGGUCUGCCUAUAAAGCACUUAACGACAGCGCCAAACUUGAGUAUGGCUUUUAGGACCAGCGCCCUAAUCAAGGGACUGCUGAUGCAGAGUCAGAGGCUGUGUUCCUAAUUCCUGGGAAGCAAAGCUCUGGUCUCACACACGGCAGCACAGCAGAGGCCCGCCAAGCACAAUGGAGAUUGUUUGUUUACACCAGCUGAAGAGAAGGGAACAUAUUUGUUUUGAGCGAGCUGUGUUAGAAUACAUAUUGUUUUAUAUGCCCGGGCCUCAUUACGCAGUGCUUGUCUUCAACAUGGAUCAGAUCCUAAAGCUGCUCCACAUACUGAAAUAAAUGUGAGCUCUACCCACAGAACAUCUCCAGACUUAGGCCUCAUGUCUAUCAAUGUCAUCUUAAAAAAACAAAUGCUUAAAAAGAAAAACAACAAAAGUAUCUUAGAGACUGUGGAGGAUGCUCACGUGCAGUAGAUGCCAUUCAAGGGGAUGCUGAGGAGAGACAGAAACCCAUGUAACGAGGCUGGAGAACAGAGUGGGCCUGAAAGAAAAUGAGAGAUAAUUAAGGUUUGCUGAAAGAAAUAUGAGUUGCACCAGUCAGUUUUGUGUUUCAGAAGUUUUCCUAAAACUGAGAGGGAAUUCUCCCCUCACAUCAGCAGCAGGGCUGCACUAACACUCCCCCCAGGCAAAGGUGGCCACUGUCUCUGCUUUGCUCAAAGGCACAAGAGCAUUCACGGGGGAAGAGUUAAAGUGCUGCUCAGUAAACAACCCGAAGAGCUGCACACUGUAUUCAUGUACGGGGAGGUAGGAGCCAACAGAGAGAGACGUUCAGAGGCAAUCAAAGAGGAUCUGAGCCUCCCUGAGCGCUCACAUGACAGUUGGGAUCAUUUCGGAUCCCUUCCAAUGAAGAUAAAAUGGCAUCAAAAGCAGGGAGGCUUUUUUUCUUUCUUUUAAGGAUGAAAACACAACAUCAUUAGUCAAAUUUACUCUGAACUUCCGCCUCCUCAUGUUGAUUUGUACUCAGGUUGAGUAAACAUAUCUUUCCAUCAAGGUAAAUAAACGUAAAAGCCUAUCAGUAACUUAAUUGCUUAACGAAUGAUGCAGUGUGGGGUGUAACACUGUUUUUGACUAUACUGCUGGAGUUAACGACCUCUCAAAAACACCUAUUAUACAUCUUGGCAGUAAAAAAAUCUGCACAUACUUGAAAAUUUGCUCGUAAAAUUUCAACCGUUUUCCAGUCAUUCUUCCCCGUUUUGGGGAGGGGGUAGACGCCUCACAGGGCAAUUUGCUCAGUGCACCUAUGUCAAAAUGAGUGCAUCGGUGCAAGGUGCUGUCUUUAGCAGGUCUGCAUGCCACAGAGAAAUUAAAUUUGAGAAAAGCUGAGGUUCCAGAGCAAGGGCAGAAGUUACCAGGUGGAUGGGAAAUGUUGUAUCUCCAAGUACAAAUGGCCAUGUUUCACUGGGGUGGGGAGGCUCAGGCCGCAGGAGCCUGAUCUUGGGUGCGUGGAACACACCUGGGUACAUCUGGGAACACACACUCCUCUGUGCUUGUGGAGCUGGUGCCGUGGGCUAAGAAGACCCCUGAGAGAAAGCAGUUCUUCCAGUUACAGGAAAUCCAUUAAAUAGAGGCGCAGGCAAAAUGAGCUCUCCGGUGAGGGGACAGCCAGGGAAGAGGGCAUGCCACACGUAGGAGGCUGAAAUCUGGCUGGCGGUGGGCAGCAGGCAGAGCGCAGAGGCACAGCUGCCAGGCUGACAUGAUGGAUCAGAAAAGCUACCGAAGAACUGUGAGAGUCCAGGCGGCUGAAGUAAAGGGAAACAUGAAAAGGUAAUAGGUCAGCCCGUCUUUACAAUCUAUCAAUUAAACAAUCGUCUGCUUCCAAAAGCGUGUUAUGUCCUGAGCAGUGGAUAUCUCAGCACGUGAUCACUGCCGUGAUGGAGCGACAGGCUGACAAACAGGAAUUAACGAUAAUAAUUACUAGGCAUGCUAAUAAUUUUGGAUAGGCCAUUCUAUAGCGAGCCCCUCCAAGGAAAUAACAUGGUUGGGUAUUUUGGCUUAAUUAUACAGUCGCGUAUCAGCUUUACUCAGCCCACCGCAAAACAAAGGUGUGUUCAAAAUUGUCCAUUAUGUGGGAGGGUUUCGCCAAAAUCUCACCCUGCUUCGGACAGCUAGCGGGGGUGAGAGUGGCACGCAGUUAGCGUCAGCUGCUUUCUCCAAAGCCCUGAAGCUUUCAGAAACAUUCAUUUCUGUUGGCAUCACUCAACAGCUCAUUGUUAGGAUUUGUUCUCAUUGGCAUGCAUGAACUAAGACUGAUGUAUCGGGCGAUCCAGAGUGACAGCCUUCAGCCCAAAAAGCGAAUACCUGCUUCCCUUAGAGUCCAGGGACUCACACUUGACACAGAGGAUAUAUGCAAAAAUUAUCUUUCCUCUUUCAUUUGCCCGUGUUAAGCCUAAGAGCAUUCAUCCAAAUUAGCAAUCAGGCAAACUGUGCAUGCAAAAAUCUGCGCUUGUACAAACUGUGCAAUUUUUUUUUUGUAAUGCUGCAAGAUUAAAUAUCUUGACAAAAGAUGAAAACCCUUUAACAAAUCUUCCCCUAGAGAAAAGUAACAUUUUUUUUAUUCCAUUUACUGUCAAGUGACAUAAAGAAAGUAUAGCUGAACACAAUCCUAUAGGUUGAUUUGUUGCUUUAAAUAAUGUCACUAACAUCCAGAUAUCAAUGUGACGGUGCAAAAAAAAAAAAAAAAAGUUCACAUUGAGCUAGAUUCAAUUACAGACCUAGAAACUGAAAUUAAGGCUGAUGCUACAUGCCUAAUUCAUGUUUGUGUGACUGAAAGAGUAUCUGGUUUACCUUGAAUUUCCUGCCUUAGCGUGGUGAAAACAUGACCCAUCGCGUUAAUUAAAAAAUAACUUUCAAACGUAGCUUAAGUCACAUUGCACUGGCAGGAAGAGGUGAACUCUUUUUUGUCCUCAGCGUGUUAUAUGAUAUAAAGGGAACUGUUCAGUGUCUUUUUCCUCUAUUCCUGGGUAUAUCUUACAAUUCUCGCUGAAGAAUUAAAAGUAAAUAAAUAAGUAAGAAGACGACCUCUAUCAAUUAGAAGCUGAUGACUCUUCUUUGAUUAAAAAAAAAAAAAAAAAUUGUCCUUAAAAACCCUUAAUCAUCUUCUGAUCACAUUGGUUGAAGCAGGUGCAUAUUGGCAAUUGUCACACACAUUACUGAGGUCUGUACUUUGCUCUGUGUUACCCCAUUCACACAUUACACCCAUCAUGGUAUGUUCAUAUUUAAUACCCCAAAAUACCAUACCGUAUCAGUGGAAUUUAAACCAGCACACAUUUGACUACUGAUUUCACAUAUGGGUCUGGGACUAACUUUUCUCCUAAUAUGGUGAUGGCACAGGCACUAUUUAAAUGAUUCCUGAGCCUUGUAAAUAUACACCAGAUGUAUCUUUUGUAAAUGUUACAUUUUUCAACAUCUCAGCAUUUGUGAAUAGUUGAAAGCUAUGCCAGCCAUGCUUUAAUGGGGCACAGAAGCGUACUGCACUCAAAGAAAUGGCACACCAUUGCGAUAGUCAAAAUUACAAGUGCUGUCAAAAGCUACAUUUUCACUUUAUUGAUUAGCACCAGGUAAUACAGCGCUCUGCAUCGCACGCUCAUAUGGGCCAUUCUCAGCUGACACUUGUGUGGGGGUGCACACAGAGGGACGUGGGACUGGAUAUACAGAGGAAGGAAGAGAGCAGAACCGUGGGGUGAGCAGAACCUUUGGGACGCAGCCAUGCUCCCGUGGCCACAACAGACAGCCUGAGGUGAGGUGGGAAGGGCAGCAGGGUCUGCAGAGCCCAGCGUUACCAGCACAUCUUUCCCACUAGCACUGAUGUGGCAUAAGGCUGCAUUCCUGCUGCUUGGGCCUCCCUCGUCUCAGAGGUACCUCAGUACAGGGAGAGUCAUCACCCAUUGGAGAAGGAGAACGGGUUGCAUUCGUUUGGCUGCCACUUUGUGGGCUUUUCUAUACCUGGGUUUUCCUGUGCUGCUGCAGAAAUCUAGUUGGAGAUGCAGGACCAGGUGUGCGGCACGUCACGGGAAAUGCCCCUUCCUCACUUUCUACCUCCCAGCACUUGCCCUACCCACCGCCACUGUUAGUGAGGACCUCUCCGAUAGUACCAGCUAAAAGGAGCCAUCAGAAAAGAAACCAGAACGUUUGCCCAAAAACACGCUUCUCUCCUUUGCAAGAUUUGCACCCCGGCUGUAGCACAAAGAGGGAAGGCAUUUAUAAUGCAGCAUGGUUAGUAUUAAUCAAGAGGCAGAGUGCUUUUUCCCAGGGAAUUUUAGGCUGGAGUAGCACCACUCGCCUCAGCCCAGCAAAUCCGCUAAAAAUCAGAGCUAGGUGAGACAUGACAAUAAACUUAGAGGGAACAGACUAGCUGCAAUGCCCCACUACAAGUAUUAUUUCCAAGUUCACAGGCUUGCAAAUUAAAAUGUCCCUGGAUCACUGCCAUAAAAAAAGAACAUUAAAAAUCAGGGGAAGAGGUCUGGGCAUCUGUUAGAAGCAUCUAAUAUAUACCAAAUGUGUAUGCUGAGCUUCUUAGAUAUAUGCGUUGCUGAGACGUAGCCUACAACUAAUGCAAAAGCAGAAAUAUUUUAAUUGUAUUUUUUCCAUUUGAUAUUCAAAUGAAAAAAAAUAUAUCUUAUUAAACACAACACUUGGCUUCGCUAUUUUAAUAAAAAAUAAGUUGUUGAGGAAAAGAAAAGCAAAACUACUGAUUCCUUCCCUUAUGAUGAUCAAAUGAGCCUUUCAUGUUUGUAUCUUACACUUCACUUUUUAGCAUUUUGAGGCAAAUAGCAGAUAUCAAAACUUAGUAAAUAAUCAAAGACAUAUUCAGUUUUUCCAAACUGUCAUGCUGCUUAUCUUGUAAUAGCUGAUCUCUUAGGUAGCAUAAGCUAUUUAAUUGCUACUGAAGAUUAUUUGAAUGAAAAAAAAAGAGACGACAUUCUCCCUUACCCCUCAAAAAGACAAAACUAUAUUCUUCAAAAAGACACAUGCCAGCAGAUAGAUUCUGAUCUCUCAUACACACGCAUAAGAGCGGCAGCUAAUUUUACAAGAUUUGAUAUGAGCUGUGGAUCUGAGAUUACACCCCGUCCUCCCGGCUGCACAUUCCACACGGAAAAUAGCUUAAUUUGGAAAUAAAUUCUGUAGCUGAUAAAUCCGGACUCUGUGGUCCUUCGGUACCAGAAUAACCCAACUUAUUAAAGCAGCUAAGGACGCACAGCAAUUGUGUUUUAAAGGGACUUUUUACAGUGUUGCCAAAGUGUGUGUUCAUGUAUCCCCUCUGACAUGAUAGACUGUAAUGGCUCCGGUCUGUCAUGUCAACCAUCUGCAUAUUAAACAGUCCCUAAGUACACAUUGACACAGCAGACCCUAAUAGCUCUGAAGCCGUAACAAUCUAUUGAGUCAAUAAUAUGCAUGUUAAAGAGCAUCUCAUGUACUUCCAUCAAUAUCUUUUAUCUUUUACUUAAUUUGUAUCUUCUUUUCAUACGUAUAGCCAGAGUUAAGGUUUUAGGAACCUUUAUCCUUAGCGUGCUGCUGCAGAUGUGAAACAUGUGGCACGGAGAGGCAGAUGCAGUAGCAAAAUCCUUCCCUAGGAUCUGGGCCAGAUCUUAAAAUGACAACUGUAAUAUUUUUACACUGGCAGCAUGCAUUCUUCCCUCUGUUCCAGAUAAGGUGGAAAUACCCCCUCUUUUCUGCAGGGCCUGAUCCGGUGCUCAUGAAAACCACGGGAAAGAUUCCCAGUGAUUUCACAGUCUUUGGAUGGAGCCCAGUGUGAUGCUACUCAUUUCCUAUUACACAUUUCCUUCUAAUUAAAUGAAAUAGGUCACAAGGGGAAAAUGAAACAAAAGACAAAUGUAUUUACUUACAGUAAUAUCAACCCCAAAAAAGACGAUCAGAAGCAAGAGAAAAGAUAACACAAAAUACACUGUCUCUUCAUUAACUUGAAAUUACAUCUGGUACCGUAGGCUUAAUUCAUUCCUGUGUGAUCCUGAAAUCUUUUGUGCCAUGGAAGAGGAAGACUGUUAUUUAAGAACAAGAGAAUGGUGACUUAAUUUCUUUUGUCUAAAAAACAGCAAAGAAAAAGCUUAAUUUGCUUUUCCUCGACUUUAUGUCCUCGUAGCAUGGCACAUUCCCCUCACACUCUGAUCACAUAACUUUCCCACUUUCUUCCACUCCUCCAUCACUACUUGGCUCACACUUUUAGAAGUUAAUCCAAAGUGCAGUCUGUGUUUCCAAAAGGCAGAACCAGGGCCAGGGAGGCCAUUUGACCCUAUCGGCAGAUCUUAGUGGUCUGAAUUCCCCUCUCCUUUCCACUAAUUUGACACCGAUAUGUCUUUGAAGCACAUAUGGAUUUAUUCCAGCAUAUUCUUGACUAUCACACCAAUGAGGGCAGAAAGGUGGUACACUUUCUAUUGUAUUUCAGAAGCAUGCAAUUCAUCC